GACGAACCGUGCGAACGUUAUUCGGAAUCACUGGGCUUAAAGCGCGUGUAGGCGGGACGGCACGUCGGUCGCUGAAAUCCCCCGGCUCAACCGGGGAACCGGCGCCGAUACGACCGGCCUGGAGGGACGUAGGGGGACCUGGAACUUCCGGUGGAGCGGUGAAAUGCGUUGAGAUCGGAAAGAACACCAACGGCGAAAGCACUCUGCUGGGCCGACACUGACACUGAGAGACGAAAGCUAGGGGAGCGAAUGGG
rnacentral:rRNA from 1 species